UCGGGGGGGGGUCACCGCCCUACGGGGCGGAGCUUAGCGUGAAGGGGGCGGGGCCGGGUGGGCGGAAGGGACCAAUCCCGGCCCUGCGCGGGACACUUAAGCCUCCCCCCGGCUCCGCAGCGGAGGGGUCCGGGCUAAGCGCCUGCGGCUACUCCGUUAAACCCCGUGGGGGGCGGAGCGGUCGCGGGGCUCCUGAAUUGCACGUAGGAAACAACAUUUCCGCUUCAAGUUAGCCCGGGUCUCCCAUACAGGCUGCACCGACCGUCCGCGUUUCGGAAACGGAGGCGAAAAAGCCGGUUUUUAUCCGAAUUUCGGCGACGCACCCCCCCCGGUUCGCAGCGGCGUGGAAAAGAAAGACUGUUGUUCCCCUCAGCGAAGUUUCCCUUCGGAGAGGCAACGGGAGACGCGACUGCAGCUGAGGUUUUUCCCUGCUUCUGCACAACAAAACUUGCUCCCGUUAUCGGUUUGGACUCCACUUUUGCAGAAGAUUGAGAAAUACGUGAUUUUCUUAAUUUUUUUCGUACUCUGCAGUGACUGAUUCCUGCACUGGAAGCAAUAUUAGAACUAGGAUAUGAGGCUGAUGUAUGUGCUGUACUGAAACAACUGGCUGCAAGCAAGAGGGGGAAGUCCUCACGUGCACUUAAGCAAGACCACACGAAAACAGAUUAAAACUAAAAGCAUUUUAUUUUUUGGAGUAGAGAGAAUUGAAAGAAAAAUUCUCUGAUAUUUUCCUUAUUGCCUACAACCCUUUGUUUUGCCAGAGGCCUGUAAACUGCUUAUUCCCUCUUGACAUUGUGACUGUUAGUGGUACAAAAAUGUUGUGUGGUGUUAUGAUUAAAGAAAUCUGUUUUCAAAUGAA